UACAGAGGUCCCAAGCGUUGUUCGGAUUCAUUGGGCGUAAAGGGUGCGUAGGCGGCGCGGUAAGUCGGGUGUGAAAUCUCGGGGCUUAACUCCGAAACUGCAUUCGAUACUGCCGUGCUUGAGGACUGGAGAGGAGACUGGAAUUUACGGUGUAGCGGUGAAAUGCGUAGAUAUCGAUAAGGAAGACCAGUGGCGAAGGCGGGUCUCUGGACAGUUCCUGACGCUGAGACGCGAAAGCGUGGGGAGCAAACAGG
rnacentral:rRNA from 1 species